UAGGGAAUCUUCGGCAAUGGACGAAAGUCUGACCGAGCAACGCCGCGUGAGUGAAGAAGGUUUUCGGAUCGUAAAACUCUGUUGUUAGAGAAGAACAAGGACGUUAGUAACUGAACGUCCCCUGACGGUAUCUAACCAGAAAGCCACGGCUAACUACGUGCCAGCAGCCGCGGUAAUACGUAGGUGGCAAGCGUUGUCCGGAUUUAUUGGGCGUAAAGCGAGCGCAGGCGGUUUCUUAAGUCUGAUGUGAAAGCCCCCGGCUCAACCGGGGAGGGUCAUUGGAAACUGGGAGACUUGAGUGCAGAAGAGGAGAGUGGAAUUCCAUGUGUAGCGGUGAAAUGCGUAGAUAUAUGGAGGAGCACCAGUGGCGAAGGCGGCUCUCUGGUCUGUAACUGACGCUGAGGCUCGAAAGCGUGGGGAGCAAACAGG
rnacentral:rRNA from 1 species